CAUCAACUGAUCACAAAUCAAAGCAAAUUCUCAACCACACAGCCCCAAAAGCAACUUCCACCACCAUCAUCACACAACCGCAGUCCCAGGUUUCAACAUUUCGUAGAUACCAACAUCGUACCAUUGGUAGUAGUCGGAGGGUUUAUUGGAAUAGUUAUACUGUAUCGCACAUUUUUCCUUCAAAACUACAUUUGCGUUUGCCCUCGGCCAACGUGCUAUGGAUACUCUUCAAGGCUAUGGCGUUACAUUCUCGAUCAGCUAGGGUACGAGGAUACUCCACACUAUUAACAUCCUUACGCUCCUCUAACAGAAAUCGUGCAAGGAUUCGUCAAGACAAGAACCAUCCACUACUUUGACAUCGACAUUACACUGCCGAAGUAGUGAUUUAUUGGAAUUAAUUAUGAAAAUUCGAGGCGAGCACGAAUGUGUCACACGGUGCCAACCACCCACGGCCCAAUCGCCCAGUAAAGGUAUGCAAUGGAUGAAUGAGGAUAAUAAAUGGUAAUUUUCGUAAAA